UACGAAGGGGGCUAGCGUUGUUCGGAAUUACUGGGCGUAAAGCGCGCGUAGGCGGACCUGCAAGUCGGGGGUGAAAGCCCGAGGCUCAACCUCGGAACUGCCUUCGAUACUGCGGGUCUCGAGUCCGGGAGAGGUGAGUGGAAUUCCUAGUGUAGAGGUGAAAUUCGUAGAUAUUAGGAAGAACACCAGUGGCGAAGGCGGCUCACUGGCCCGGUACUGACGCUGAGGCGCGAAAGCGUGGGGAGCAAACAGGG
rnacentral:rRNA from 1 species